GGCUCGGUGCCAGCGGGAGGUGCGGGGGCCGGCGAAAACGGCUCUUCCGCUCUGUUCUCCGUCCCGGUGGUUCCCCGUCCGCCUCCCAGAGCUUUGUCUGGAUGGGAAGAAAAAGGAUGGAGGAGCAGUGGUGGAAAGGGGAGCUGGCGGCAGACAUCCAUCAGACCCUGAGGACGAAGGAGCGUAACCUGCCUCUGUACAAGGCCCAUUCACCACAGAUUGGGAUGCGCCGUUACUUCAUUGAUCUCUUGACCGUCCUCAGCAACCGUUGCAGUCUCUGCCCUACAGCUCGGCAUCUCGCUAUCUACUUACUGGACCUCUUCAUGGAUCGCUAUGAUAUCAGUGUCAAGCAACUGUAUGUCACUUCAUUUGCCUGUCUUCUCCUAGCAAGUAAAUUUGAAGAAAAAGAAGAUAAAGUUCCAAAGUUGGAGCACUUAAAUAACCUGGCAUACAUGUGCAAUGUGAAUGUGGUACUGAGCAAGAAAGACUUGCUUCAAAUGGAAAUGCUGCUUCUGGAAAACUUCAACUGGAACCUGUGCAUACCAACAGCAGCGCACUACAUUGACUACUACCUCUAUGCAUCUCUUGGUGAGAAUGACCUUCACAACGGCUGGCCAAUCACUUCACUAACCAAAGUCAAAGCUUUUAUGGAAAAAUAUGCAUAUUAUUUCCUUGAUUUUUCAGUGCAAGAUCACAGUUUCCUUCAUUUUCGUCCAUCUCUGAUUGCUGCGGCUUCUGUGUGUGCCUCACGCAUCUGUAUGCAGAUUUCUCCUGCCUGGACAACACAGCUUGAAUUGCUCACAUGUUACUCCUGGGAGCACCUUGCCCAGUGCAUUGAAAUGAUGCUCAUAUAUUAUGAGAAUGACAUCAAAGAAGCCAGUAAUAUAAAAAAGGAAGUAACAAUCCAACAUCAGCAGCAGGAAGUAAUGGAAAACCUGAGACAUGAAGCCACUACUCAAGUUCUAUUUCAGCAAUCCAGUUAUCAUCCUUUAGCCCAGCAUUCAGCUAGUCUUUCCCACUUCCAGUCACCAGUACAGGAUUUGUGCUCUGCUUAUCGUGACUCCUUACAGCCACACAGACCCAGCACUCUGAUUGCUGGGAGUGCUGACAGCUCAAUGCAUCCCUAUGCUGCUCUUCAGACCAACCUGCAGCCAUCUGCCCAGACUCUGCAUGUCCAAAUGCCUAUUGCUGUGCAGGUGGCCUUAGGAACAGAGCCCAGUCACUGCAUUUCCAUGGCUUGUGGUAGUAGUUAUUUCAGUGGUUGCCAUUCGUAUCCAGCUGGGUGUUUUGAUGGAUAAAUAUCGGCACGAGAAUAAGGUGACAUGAGUGAAAACUAAAGAAAAGACCCUGUGAGUGAUACAGAAUGUGUAUCUGAAUGAGAACCGUGAAGGAACAGAAUCCGUACAUCUUACUCAUCCACAGGACGUGGAUCUGGAUCCAUUGAUCACUGGAAGCUGGGUGCCUUUGCCAAGGAUUGUACCUUUCUCUCUUAAUAAGAGAAACAGAAAUGCAGUAACAUACCUCAUGUGAAGUAACUUUGAAAGACAUGCAUAGCAACCCUGUGGAGAUUACUGCUUUCUAGUUCUCAGAUCGUGGCUCACUGAUCUGAGUUGGCUGAAAGCUUGUAUGUUAUUUCAGGCUAGAGUGUUCCUCGAAUUUUUGGUUUAGUAGCAAUGUUCUUAGAGGAUGUUAUUGAAAACAGAGUGCUCUCUCUCCCAGGGAUGUGUCUUUUCAACAGUGGUGGCUUAUACUACUGGAAGCUUCUACAAAAAGUGCCCUGAAAUGGUGUUCACUUAAAUGCGGGUGCUCUUUGUUUCUGCAGAAACAGAUGCAUAGAACACUUCAAUUUUCUUUGACCUGGAGUGACAAUGCAGGAGUAAGACUGCAUAAUAAAAGGAACAAAGGCUGGAAGACUAUCAAAUAAUCUUUGACUUAAAAUUAUCUUGGAAACAAGAUGUGAUGAUACUGAACUGAACACACAACACCGCUCUGCCUUUGCUUAUUUGAAAAAAAAAUAAGCAACAGAAACAUUAAAAAGCAUAAAUGAUCUUAGAACUUAAACAUGCUGCUGCUUUUUGAGACUGGAGAUUACAGUUAGUAAAACUGUUUACAAGCUUUAUCAGGGAUUUAAUGUUACUUGAAGAAAUUUUCUUUGAAAAACUCUCAAAAACUUCAGUCCCUUCAGUUAUUUCGUAGUGGUUUUGGCAGUAGUUCAAUUUUAGGACAGAGGAACUGCUGGUAAUGUGGGCAGAGAUGGGGAACUGGUUAACUUUAUUGGGAAAUUGGUUUAGUUGCAGCACUAGGCAAUCCUGACUUAGUUUUCUUGAAUAUCACCUUGAUUCUAUUGGAAAAUAUAGCUGGUGAACUGCAGAUCAUGUUACUUUAUAAUGAGAUGCACCUACUGCCAGAUACCCAAAUGUUCCCUUUUCGAUUGAGAUCAGAGAAGAUUGUAGAGGUUUUUGUUUGCUUAACUGCAAUGUAGGUAUUUACAAGAAACAGACUUCUGAAAUGUGAAACUUCUAGUUUUGAUACGCAACCACAAUUGUGUGUUUGUUUGAAGACAAUACUGUUGGACUGUCCUUUUUCCCUAAGGAUCUCAGGACUGCAGUACAGAUCAGAAUUUUUGCAGUCUGAUCAACAUGCAAUUCCCUGGAAAGCUUUGUGAAGAAACAUCACUGCAAAAGCACAUACAGAACAACGUGGCUACGAAUAGAAAGCACCGUGCUGCAAUUGCCAAAAUGAACACUAGCAGCCUGUGUCUGGCUCUAUGGUUCUAUGUAGUAGGUAUCAUGGGCACAUUUUUUAAGAUCUGUAAGAUGUCCCAUUGUUAUUUGAAGAGAAAUGAUGAGUGAGCCUGAAGAAAUAUCUGUCACUUCCUGAGAUGGUGUUCUGCAACUGGGUCUGAAUUAUGCUUCAGCUUCCUCAUGCAAGAUAAUGACAUUGUUACUGUCCUAAAGGAACACAGAAGUUGCAUCAAGCCAACCCUGCAUCUACAUAGUGGUAGUCCGUGUGUUCUUGAAGUUUUGCAAAUGCUUGUGGCUUGCUCUCCUGAUUGCUGCAUGUGCCUGAUUUCCUUGAGCACAGACAUCCAGUUAACCAAACCAAACCAAAACAAAAAAAACCCCUUCUCAUAGUCAGAGAAAAAUAGCACUGUCCCUCUUGUACUUAGUUUCUUAGUAAUAGUCUUCAUAUACUGCAUAUACCUGGAACCAUUAACUGCAGAAAUAUUUCUGAUUUAUGGUUUUCAUUAUAUUGUUCAAAAUUUUUAAUGACUGCCAAUUCAUUAUUACUUAUCAGUUAAAAUGUGAUGUUAAUUUGGCAUACAGAUGACAUUUCACUUUUUUUUUUCUUACGAAUCCAAGGACUUUCAAUCAUUAAGUUAUCAAAAUAACUGUUUUACCUCCUCCAUCCUAACCCACUCCAACCUUCACAGGAACCCAAUUACUCUGAUAAAAAUGAUACUGAUUUACUGGUGAAUAUAAGAAUCUUAAUAAGCUUUCCAUUAUCUCUGUUACAGGCAGUUCUGCUUAACAAAACUGUUUGUCUGCUUGAUCAAUCUGAAGUAUUGCAAUUUUAAUGUUCAUAUUUCAGUGGAAGUUUCUAAUAAUGAUAUUUCCAGUCAUUCUUAUGACUGUGAGAGGGGUUGCUUGCUUUUCCCGCACAAAUGUUAUGAAGUUCAAAAUAAGAGCUUUACUGUCCAAUUCUGAUGGCUCUAUUAUUUCCUUUUAAAAGCAAAAUUAACAUCAAUGGAUGAUAAGAACUGAAAUCACUUAUUCACUGUCUAUCAAAGGACCAUCCAGCAGGGUCGACAGCACAAGGCUUUUGGGCUGCUAUCUAUGCAAGUGGCAAAAUGCCUGUGUGCUCCAGAGGACCUGCUUUUAUGGGUCAACUUUGCAGCUCUCUGUUUUUUGCUUUUAUUUGUUUGAUUUAUGCUUAGUAUUGCUUUCUACCCCAUCCAUAUUGCAGCGAAGUAGCAAGGGUGUGAAAUCUAAAUGGAGUGUUCUUGUUGAGGGAAGAAGAAAUGAGUGAUACCUCUUCCAUUCAACUGAAGAGGCUGAAUUGGAAAUAAAUGAUUUGUUAAUGCAGUAGAUUUGUUUGCUGCAUGUACCAAAAGACUCCUUUAAGACUGAGAGGUUUUGGAGUUGACAGAUGUUUUUCUAAUUAGGGGUUCAGCAUUAUGAGUUGCCUUCAAUGCAAAACAAGUAAUUAACUGAGCAACACCUGGUCAUAAGCUGUGUGUAGCCUAUUUUGAGUAAACUAAUGCAGAUAGGAAACAUUAGUAGUCUCAAUUAAGAUGAAAAAUAUAAAAGCAAUUAAGAACACUUUUUGACUGCAAGAUACCUGAAAUGAUUAGGAUUGUCAGUCAUGAACAAGAGAGAAAUUAGACAAUGAACUUUUGUGUACACAAGCCCUGUCUUGUUAUUAAUUAACAAAGGGUGAGAGCAAGCAGCUAGAUGGAUCCAGAAGAAAUGACAGCUGGAAAAAAUGACUUCAGAGCGGAAGUCUGAAAAGAGAAAUCUUUGUGGACCAGAUGUUGGCCAGAAAUUACUUGGAACAGCGCAUUCAAAAACUUUUAUCAAAUUCCUUCUGUGUUUAAGAGAACAGAUUUUCAUGUGUUCUUUGUAAACUGGAUUGUGGUGAAGAAGUAAGAUUCCGAAUUUUCCUGCAACUAUCCGUGAAGAACUUGGAUCAACAAGAGAUGUUGAUGAGAACAAAGUAACCAUGAGAGCAGUGUGAAAGUGGGUCUAAUUUUUAAAGCUGCUUAAUUUCUGCCUUCUAAUCAGUGAAAAAGCAACAGAUGUUCCUCAGGUCUUACGCUUUGAUGUCUAGACAGAAGCUGGAUGGAGCUUCCAUUAAGUGUGUGGUGAACAACAUUUGAAUAUGCCAAGUAUUUAUUAUUAUAUCCUGAAAUAGUGGUGUUGCUUCAGUAUAAAUAAAUGCCAGUUUGUGUUUCUUUA